UACGGAGGAUGCAAGCGUUAUCCGGAUUUAUUGGGUUUAAAGGGUACGUAGGCGGAAAAUUAAGUCAGUGGUGAAAUCCCGCAGCUUAACUGUGGAACUGUCAUUGAUACUGGUUUUCUUGAAUGUAGUUGAGGUAGGCGGAAUGUGUAAUGUAGCGGUGAAAUGCUUAGAUAUUACACAGAACACCGAUUGCGAAGGCAGCUUACUAAGCUAUGAUUGACGCUGAGGUACGAAAGCGUAGGGAGCGAACAGG
rnacentral:rRNA from 1 species